UUUUUAAUGUAAAUAUGUCUCAUGCAAUAUUUGGGACAUACUUAUACUAAAA
rfam:Tupaia chinensis contig85988, whole genome shotgun sequence.